GCAAGUCGAACGAGCAAUGGAAUGCUUGCAAUCCUGAGUAGAGUGGCGCACGGGUGAGUAACACGUAGAUAAUCUACCUUCAAACCUGGAAUAACUAUCCGAAAGGAUAGCUACUACCGGAUAAAGUUAGAAUGCUCAAGUAUUUUAAUGAAAGAUUGCCUCUCCUUGGAAGCAAUUGUUUGGAGAUGAGUCUGCGCACCAUUAGCUUGUUGGUGGGGUAAAGGCCUACCAAGGCUGCGAUGGUUAGCUGGUCUGAGAGGAUGAUC
rnacentral:rRNA from 1 species